rnacentral:lncRNA from 1 species
UGGGAGGUUAUGAGUUAAUUCUUAAUUAAUUAGUUAAAAAUCAUCGUUUUGCGUGCGACUUAGAAUUUAAUGAAAACAACCUCUAAACCACACUCGGGGUUUCAUUCUGAGCGUUUUGAUAUAUAUAUUGCUUGCUUUCGAAAAUUGGCCCCGGCGGACGCAGAGAAACGCGAGAAACUGGAAUCAGAGAAACGACACGCAAACCGAGGCAGGAUUUUAGCGUUUCAAAGGUCAGAUUUUUCUCACUUUUGUGACUGAGUAUGGGUCACAGUCAAAAAGAGAAAGCGGGCCCUUUUUGCUCCAAUCAAAUAGGGACAUGUGGCAGAGCUUGAAUAAAAUAAUAAGAAAAGAGGAAAAAGCCUUUUAAAAACCAAAAAGCAACUCUCUCUCUCUUCACUCAGCAGAAAACAUUGCAGAAGCCUUCUCUCUCCCUCUCCCUCACGUUGCCUUUCUUCUCCCUCAUUCUCCAUUGAAGCUCCACACAAAGCUUCAACCUUUGGCCAUCAUUUUUGCCCCAAAUCGUGAAAGGAGAGCAUUUUCGGGGUCGUGAAGUGCGUGGCUACGAGUGGGACUUCGAAAAUCCAGGUUUGGGUGGACUUCUUUCUCUCUUAAAUUUCGUGGGUAUGGGGUUUUGGGAGAUAUGAUGGGUGGUUUUGUUAGUUUUCUGCUGUGUGAUGAUUAUUUGUGAAGGCAUUUGCUGAAAACUUGUUGAAAUCGCCAUGUUUGGAUGAGUUAGACAUACCCUUUCUGUUUUAGGGUUUUUGUGAUGAUGUUUGUGAUGUUUAUAUGCUGAAAUUGCUGAUGGAAAUCUGUUAGAGACGAAGGGUAGAACUAACCCAAGGUUAGAAAGUGAGAAUGUGAUGUUAUGAGUGGAAAAAGAGUGAGACUUUGAGAGUUGGAGGCUAAGUCUGAAUUCUGUGGUAAAUGGAGGUUAAAGUGAGUUAAUACUAGCUUGAAAUGUCAUUUAGGACAUGUAAGAAAGGUUAGGCUGAGCUAGAGAGAAAAACAAAUGACCAAAGUGAACAAAGAGCCAUUGCUAGGGCAAAUUUGGGUGUUGAAGAGUCAAAUUUUGAUUCGGUGAGAUUUUAGGUGUAAAUCCAGUUUGAACAAGUCUAAAUGGAUGUUAUGGACUGGUGUGAGGUGAGAGUUUGCCUCAAAUUUACCUCAUUCUAAAUUUCACUUUUCAAACCUAGAAAACCCAUUGAAUUGAGGGGUUUUGGACACCUAGAUUCUGUGUUGC